AAUCGGUUGACAUAUUAUUCUUUACACUGUUGUGUUAGAGUAUAAAGUGACACUUAAAGUUAUUUUUUGUGUGUAAUUCGUUCUUCACUGCGCAUGCUCGCCGCAGCUUUGACUGUCACAUGUGCCGCUGUCUGUCUCGUGACAACAGGAAGGAGGAAUAACAACAGUGAGAGGAUGCUGCUGCUGCUUUGACACUUCGACACAGCUCUUAAUUUUUCAUUCAUAGAAAAAAACAGCAGACAACAAUGACUUCACUUAUCAAAGAAACACAAAGCAUAAAAGAAGCGGUGACUUUCAUCAACGCAAUUGAUGCGAACAAAUUCUCCAGGCUGAUCUCCCGCAUCAUCCAGAAGCUUCAUUUGAAGGGUGAGCGGACGUUCAGUGAAGAUGAGGAGCAAAAACUUCAGGUUGCCCUCUCGUUGGAUAAACAGGCUCUUAAUCUAGUCCUGGAAACUGCUGCCUUUAUACUAGAGCAGGCUGUGUAUCAUAAUAUGAAGCCAGCCUCUCUGCAGCAACAGCUGGAGACGGUUCAUCUAAAUCCAGAGAAGGCUGAGAUGUUCUCUCAGGCCUGGGCCUCAGCUGGACCUGAGCUGGUGGAAAAACUGAAGCACAAUGUCUUUGCCCCAAAGAAGCUGGAGUAUGUCGGCUGGCAGCUAAACCUGCAGAUGGCCCAGUCCAGCCAAGCCAAACUGAAGUCUCCCAGUGCUGUCCUCCAGCUGGGGCUCCGAAGUGAAGAAUCUGAGGUUAGAAUAACAUACGUUGAUGGAUGGAUGGAGGAGCAGGGGCAGGAGGAGAGGCAGUAAAGGGGUUGACAAUGAAGACGAGAGACACUGGGUCCAGGAAAAUGUCUUUGUUGAUUUUAACCACCAGGAGCUACUUGAGUUCUACAACAAGCUUGAAAUCGUGCAAGGACAGUUGGAUUCCCUGACUUGAUGCCUGGUGCACUCUCUCUCUCUCUCUCUCUCUCUCUCUCUCUCUCUCUCUCUCUCUCUCUCUCUCUCUCUCUCUCUCUCUCUCUCUCUCUCUCUCUCUCUCACACACUCACACACACACACACAGUGUUAGUGUUUUGCUGCCAGCUAUGCCAGCUGUUGGAGGCCUAGAAAGUCUGUUCUUGCUCUGAUUUAGUCUAGAAAAAUGUCAAAUUUUCCUAACCUUCUGAUCAACAUUUAAUUCAGGUUUGCACUCAUAACUUAGCGAUUUCAAGUAUUUUUAUGUCUUCAUCAAGGAGAUGGUGGGAAAUUUCACCCUGGCUAUGAUUAACUGUACUGAAACAAGUCUCUCAGUACCAGUAGCCUGUAGUUAGCAACUCCAUGUUUGAUUGCCCUGUAAAUUAGCUGUAAUAAGAUGUUUUAAUGUGCCAAUGUCAACGAUAAGGAAAAAAGGAAAUACAGGGAGAUUAAAUGGACAAAUGGAUUUUGUAACUUGGUGAAUGAACUAGUGUCCAUGCCAUUCUAAUAAAAUCUGAAGUGGAGGUGAAAUCCAUCCAAGCUGUUGUUA